UUUGAAAUCUGGCUCUCGGGCCCGAGUUGUAAUUUGUAGAGGAUCUUUUGGUGAGGUGCCUUCCGAGUUCCCUGGAACGGGACGCCAUAGAGGGUGAGAGCCCCGUCUGGUUGGACACCGAUCCUCUGUAAAGCUCCUUCGACGAGUCGAGUAGUUUGGGAAUGCUGCUCUAAAUGGGAGGUAUAUGUCUUCUAAAGCUAAAUACCGGCCAGAGACCGAUAGCGCACAAGUAGAGUGAUCGAAAGAUGAAAAGAACUUUGAAAAGAGAGUUAAAAAGUACGUGAAAUUGUUGAAAGGGAAGCGCUUGUGACCAGACUUGGGCUUGGUUGAUCAUCCGGGGUUCUCCCCGGUGCACUCUUCCGGCUCAGGCCAGCAUCAGUUCGCCCUGGGGGAUAAAGGCUUCGGGAAUGUGGCUCUCUCCGGGGAGUGUUAU
rnacentral:rRNA from 1 species